rnacentral:sRNA from 1 species
UGUUUGAGAUGCAUGGCAAGACCAGCAACUUGACCAGGAUCUGGGCUGUGAGCAGCAGCCAGUGGAGGGGUUCAGGCACCUGGGUUGAGACUCUUUGGACUCCUUUGGGGUUCUGAGCUAGAGGGGAGAGGCAGACAGGGCACUGGUGCCUGGUGUGUGGUUUGUCCUGGAGGGGCUGGGAUGGCUCUGAGGGUCUCAGGGAGUUGCUGGUUGGUUUCCAUUUUUUCCACUGGCUCCCACCCCAGCACUCUGCUCUGUACCCCCAGAUGUGUAUCCGCCUUCUAUCCAGCCGGCACCCUAUGCUCUACACCUUCCAGACAUCUCUGCCCAAGCUUCCUGUGCCCAGGGUGUCAGCCACAAUUCAGCGGUACCUAGAGUCUGUGCGCCCCUUGUUGGAUGAUGAGGAAUAUUACCGCAUGGAGUUGCUGGCCAAAGAAUUCCAGGACAAGACUGCCCCCAGGCUGCAGAAAUACCUGGUGCUCAAGUCAUGGUGGGCAAGUAACUAUGUGAGUGACUGGUGGGAAGAGUACAUCUACCUUCGAGGCAGGAGCCCUCUCAUGGUG